AACUUCCUGUCUUUGGCGCUCUGACGUAGUAACUGAGUUUCAACUUCCUGUAUUUGACGUCCCAACCACUCAUUUGCAUAUACGCGCAUGCGUACCUCAUUGCAGUGAUGACCGUUUCUGUUAUUUGAAAAGGUACUUUCAUGUGAGAAAAAAUAUUUCACACGGAAAUAGACACCAUUUCCUUGAUUUUCCACCAAUAUAUAUUUCGGACUUUUUUUUGGAACAAGUCGCCUUAUUAACAUUUGAUAUUCAGUUGUGACGAUUUCAGAUAAAAAAAAAAGAAUUUCUAAAGGAAUCAAUACCAGACUGGGAUUUCAAGAAAAAAGAAAUUUUAAUGAAGAAUUAUCAUUAUUGCAUCUAUUUUUCAAUGCUGGCAUAGACUGGAUAAUAUUGGUUUCAAAUUUACGCACAAGGCCAGCAAUUUUAAGGGAAAGCUUUUGAAUGAUGCCACUCUGCUGGUUAGGUCAGCACGCCACUCCGUCACACGGUUAUUCAGUUACAGCUGACCAGCCUAAAGCAAUGUGAAAUGAAGUGUUUUGUUCAAUAAUACAACACACAGCCAACCUGAGAAUUGAAACCUCGAUCUUACAAUCACAAAUACAAUGCACCUAACCACUCACCCAUGCACCUUCAUAUUAUACAUAGAGAAACCAUCAGAAGACAGCAAAUGGAUGGUUGAGAACUGCUGCUGUCAGGUGAACUGCAGGUGCCAAUGGCCAGAGUCAAUCACCUUACUACAGGUGAUUACCAUUCGUAAUCCCAUCUAAUUUACAACUGGCCAGCAUAAACAGGACAGACAUACCAACCAACAUAAUAUGUACCCUAUUGAUGAAAAAGUUUCUGCUAAAUAAAGAUCUAAAAAAAAAUGGCUUCUCCUCAAGAAAAGGCACAAUGUGUAUGUCACGGUUUAUUGAAGCAAAAUCAAACAUGCAGACCCAGGAUUAAGUAUGGAAGACAUCCACCAUCAUUUCAUGCAUGGAACAAAAAAUUUAUGGAAAUAGGAACAGUGUUGAAUAAAGGAAAGAGUGGACGACCAAAAUUAUCUGAGGAAAACAUCAAUCAUGUAAGACAAGCCUUUGCUAUUUCUCCUACAAAGUCCAUACUAUGAUCAACAGUGCACAAAGUCCACAAGAGCUUGUGAUUGCAUGCUUACAAAGUGCAUCUCUUACAAGCACUUGAACCAAAUGAUAAACCAAGGCGAAAAGAGUUUGCAGUCAACAUGCUGGAAUGAAUUUCUGUGAAUGCAGCAUUCCUCACCUCGAGUUUGUUUUAGUGAUGAAACAACCUUUCAUGUUUCAGGGAAACUGAACACACAUAAUGUGAGGAUCUGGGGAUCAGAACAUCCCCAUGUGGCUCCAUAUGACUAGUCUUAGGGUGAACGUCUGGUGUGGGACGAUGUGUACUCAGAUCAUUGGUCCAUUUUUCUUCACAGAGAAAUCAAUUUCUGCAAAUAUUUAAAAUCCAACAUCCAGUCAACAUCAUGGUGUCUUAAGUGAUCACUUGUGAUGGCGACAUUACGCCUCCAUUCAUCUUCCCAUACAGCCUCAGACUCAACAUGGGGGCCUUCAUGAAGUGCCUGGAGGAGGUGUGAUUGCAGGAAGACCCUAUGUCUGGCAACAGGACUCUGCACCAUGCCACACAAGCAGGAGAACCCAGUCAUGGCUGUCAGACAAUUUCUACAUCCACAUCACCCCUAACAUCAGACCACCUAACUCCCCAGACUGCAAACCCCUUGAUUAUUAUGUGUGGGGGGCACAGUUGAGUAAGAGACCAACAAAACUCCUUGUAACACCAAAGAUGAACUGAAGGCAAGGAUUAUGGCAGCAUUCACCAAUUUAAACAAAGAGACUGUCCAGAAGAGUUGCAAGAGAUUUCGAAAUCAUCUGGAGUCCAAGCAUUUUACAUUUGAUGUAAUGUUCACAUUGCUUAAAUAAAUGGAGUCGCAUGAAACGAUCGUACUGCAUUAA